AUGGCCGACGUGGGUAAAAGUGUAGUAUCUGUUCUUAUCAACUUAAUAUCUGAUACCAGUUGUAUUUGGACCCAAGAUAUUGGAAGUUGGCGGAGUGCCCAAGAUAUUUGCAAGUUGGCGGAUUGCUUGAAGUCUGCUUUACAUCCGCCGCGGGUCGGUCCAGAAUUGCACUAUUUUCGGGAUCGGCCCACGUUUU